rfam:Camelus ferus unplaced genomic scaffold scaffold533, whole genome shotgun sequence.
GAGAGUAGAGCUCAGUGGUAGAGAACAUGCCUAGCAUGCACAAGGCCCUAGGUUCAAUCCCCAGUACUUCCA